UACGGAAGAAAACGAAGUCUUUAAUUCCUCUAAAGUCGGCCUAGUUGCAGGAAUUUGAUAGUAUGUACAAAAUCCAAACUUCAGACCUGAUUGUCAUCUUUGUACCAAAAAACACAAAGACUGUGAGCUUUGCGUAGCUACCGAUAAUCAGUAAUUCAAUCUAAGUUGUUUAGAAAAACUGCAACAGAAUAAUAAAUGACGCUCAAUGUUGAACAAUCUCUCACUUUCCAAUCAAUCCAUUGGGUAUAAUGACGGUCAAUCAAUGUGUAAAGCUUACAAUGCAAACCUACCACUGCCCCCUAAUCGAAACUGCGUUUACACAACAGUAUAUAUUUUCCAUACAAUUCAAAUUGAAAAAAUCUGAACGUGAGGGCAAAGAUUUUUAUAUCUCAUUUGAUGAAUUGAAUAAUUUAAUCCCAUGAUUCAAAUCCUUUUGGAAAAAAAGGGAAUAUUCAUUAUACCAAAAACAAUGACAUGUUUUGGAAGUCAAACGAUAGUCUUGGCGGUAAUACUACUGCUACUCACCAAGCUUCCGUUUCUUUAACUUCGCCAUUCGUCUUCUUCUCUCUCUUUCCUCUUCCUCCUCAAUUAAUCUAAGUUGCUCCUCAUCCUCCCUUCUAGCAAUUUGGGCACUGCAUGUGUAUUACACGAAAUCAUCGACAACCCAAAANACUACUUAUUAUGAAGAAACGUCAUUUAGGAAUCAUAUGAAUAAAUGACAACAGUAUGAUUUGUAACACAGUUAUGUAGUGAAAUGAAAGGGAAACCAAAUUAUUCGACGCAUGCACUUAGUUCUAUGGGAAGAAAAAUAAGUGAUCAUCAUUAAACUUUUGGAUGUAAAAUGAGGAAAAGAAAAACUAUGCAUUAGCUUGAGUCCAAUUUAAUGAACAACUAAAAUCAAGACUGGACAUAUUAAGAAAUCACAUUGUUCAAUUUCAAUCGGAAAGAAACAAACCUCCUCCUUUCUUCCCUCAUGAUUUCAUCAAAGCCUGCCUCCAUAUCAUCAUCGUCAUCGUCAUCAACAAACUUCUUNNNN
rnacentral:lncRNA from 1 species